CCUACGGGGCGCACCAGUGGGGAAUAUUGCACAAUGGGCGCAAGCCUGAUGCAGCCAUGCCGCGUGUAUGAAGAAGGCCUUCGGGUUGUAAAGUACUUUCAGCGGGGAGGAAGGCGAUAGGGUUGAUAACCUUGUCGAUUGACGUUACCCGCAGAAGAAGCACCGGCUAACUCCGUGCCAGGAGCCGCGGUAAUACGGAGGGUGCAAGCGUUAAUCGGAAUUACUGGGCGUAAAGCACACGCAGGCGGUCUGUCAAGUCGGAUGUGAAAUCCCCUGGCUCAACCUGGGAACUGCAUUCGAAACUGGCAGGCUAGAGUCUUGUAGAGGGGGGUAGAAUUCCAGGUGUAGCGGUGAAAUGCGUAGAGAUCUGGAGGAAUACCGGUGGCGAAGGCGGCCCCCUGGACAAAGACUGACGCUCAGGUGCGAAAGCGUGGGGAGCAAACAGGAUUAGAUACCCCAGUAGUC
rnacentral:rRNA from 1 species